GCCGACGUAGCUCAGUUGGUAGAGCACAUCAUUCGUAAUGAUGGGGCCACCGGUUCGACUCUGGUCGUCGGCU
rnacentral:tRNA from 1 species